UGAUGCAGAACCGGAAUGAACCCAACAUUGUUUUAAAAUUCUGGUUUGGUUAAGUCAAAUUAAGAGUCUGUUUGUUAGGUUGAUUUCCAAUUUAAGCUUGCUUAGGGUCUGAGUUAAGUCAAAUUAAGAGUCUGUUUGAUUAGGGAUUUAGGGUUAUUGGUGAAGUAUAAAAGAUGUAAAGGAGCGGAGGCCUCCCUCUUCUUCAUUGCUUUCCCAAGAAUAAAAAAAAAGAAAACACCCAAGCUCUGUUUGGAGCCCAACUUCUCCCUGUUUCCCCUCUGUUUGGUUGUGGAUUCAGCCGCAGAACAGAGGAUCAUCUCUUCUCCAC
rnacentral:lncRNA from 1 species